GACGAACGCUGGCGGCGUGCUUAACACAUGCAAGUCGAACGAAGAGCGAUGGAAGCUUGCUUCUAUCAAUCUUAGUGGCGAACGGGUGAGUAACGCGUAAUCAACCUGCCCUUCAGAGGGGGACAACAGUUGGAAACGACUGCUAAUACCGCAUACGAUCUAAUCUCGGCAUCGAGGAUAGAUGAAAGGUGGCCUCUACAUGUAAGCUAUCACUGAAGGAGGGGAUUGCGUCUGAUUAGCUAGUUGGAGGGGUAACGGCCCACCAAGGCGAUGAUCAGUAGCCGGUCUGAGAGGGUGAACGGCCACAUUGGGACUGAGACACGGCCCAGACUCCUACGGGAGGCAGCAGUGGGGAAUCUUCCGCAAUGGACGAAAGUCUGACGGAGCAACGCCGCGUGAGUGAUGACGGCCUUCGGGUUGUAAAGCUCUGUUAAUCGGGACGAAAGGC
rnacentral:rRNA from 1 species